UACGUAGGGUGCGAGCGUUAAUCGGAAUUACUGGGCGUAAAGCGUGCGCAGGCGGUUCGUUGUGUCGGCGGUGAAAGCCCCGGGCUUAACCUGGGAAUGGCCGUUGAAACUGGCGAACUGGAGUGUGGCAGAGGGGGGUGGAAUUCCGCGUGUAGCAGUGAAAUGCGUAGAGAUGCGGAGGAACACCAGUGGCGAAGGCGGCUCACUGGCCCGAUACUGACGCUGAGGCACGAAAGCGUGGGGAGCAAACAGG
rnacentral:rRNA from 1 species